rnacentral:rRNA from 1 species
GGGGAAUUUUCCGCAAUGGGCGCAAUCCUGACGGAGCAAUACCGCGUGAGGGAAGAAGGCUCUUGGGUUGUAAACCUCUUUUCUUAGGGAAGAAAAAAAUGACGGUACCUAAGGAAUAAGCAUCGGCUAACUCCGUGCCAGCAGCCGCGGUAAUACGGAGGGUGCAAGCGUUAUCCGGAAUGAUUGGGCGUAAAGUGUCCGCAGGUGGCAAGUCAAGUUUGCGGUUAAAGGUUCUGGCUCAACCAGAGACAGGCCGUGAAAACUGACUAGCUAGAGUAUGGUAGGGGCAGAGGGAAUUCCCAGUGUAGCGGUGAAAUGCGUAGAGAUUGGGAAGAACACCGGUGGCGAAAGCGCUCUGCUAGGCCAAAACUGACACUGAGGGACGAAAGCUAGGGGAGCGAAUGGGAUUAGAUACCCCAGUAGUCCUAGCCGUAAACGAUGGAUACUAGGUGUAGCUUGUAUCGACCCAAGCUGUGCCGUAGCUAACGCGUUAAGUAUCC